AACUGCAGUGCUUGGAAGCGAAAGCAAGAAAGUGAUGAUUUUGCACUUAGAGACCAGAGCUCCCAAGAACUUUACAAACACAACACAACCCUUUCAACUGGGAGAGGCCCUUGCUGAUCUCCUGUACUGGGGGGAGCGCUGGCUGAACACAAAAAAUCACUGGUACUCCAGAAAGCAAGAUGGGGCUUCUCUGCUGCUCACCUUCUGUUUGGUACCAGCACUGUAACCAGUCUCCACUGGGUGAGAACCACCUGUGGCUGUGCUGGGGGACUGAGCCAAGAGAAGGAGGGAUCUCACAUGGACAUCUCUGGGCACCUUUGAUUCAAACAUGUAAGAGCACUUGGAAGAGAAAGCCACUGCUUUCAUGUUUUCAGCAGGUGGAAGGUCAAAAUACUUCUUAGAGCAUCUAAGAUUGAGUGAGGUUUUGUGGAUGUUUCUGACAUGCAGACAUGGAAAAACGCUGCAGUUCCCAAUGGGUUUGGUGAGUGCUUACUUGAGGGUUUUAAAAACCCACAGGAGGACUGAGCAGAGCCCUGAGCCCUUUGGCAGAAUCAGGACUUCCCAGCAUGGAGAGUUGAUGAGGUCCAGCUUCCCUUGGGGCACAGAGCAAUACCCACAGCAGCAGCAGCAGCAGCAACUGCCCAAGGAAACAGGCAGAGUGGCAUGUUGGGGAGAGGAGACUCGAGAUCCGACACUAAACACAAGGUUGGAUUUGUGGAGAGCAAUUGAAAAGCAGCUGAGAGAAACCUCUGUGGAGCAGCAGGUAACUUCAUUUCCCAUCACCAUUUUCUUUCCUGAGGUUAUCUUCUCUUCAUUCAGUAACAGACCAGAGCUGUUAUCAGUUCAAGGUUUUGUUUGCCCUCUUCUAUUGACCUUAACCAGUGGAAAUGGAACAUAAUGGAAGAAAAAUUGCCCCUGUGCCAUAUGGUACAUGAGAUGGGGCUGUCUCUGAUUAGGGCUUGGUAACCUCUUCCUUUUCCAUGCAUGUCUUAAGAAAGGAAUGAUUCAUGCUGUGGGUUUAUAUUACACUCUGAUAUCUGUGUUAUGUUUUGCAAGGGCUAUUUAUACACGCAAAAAAUCACACUUCGCUAGCUUGAUAGUAGUCUAACUAUAAGCAAGUAGUAAAUAAUAGUUGCAUAAUUCCACAUCAAAAUACAAUAAAAAAUACAGGAGACUCUGUUGCCA
rnacentral:lncRNA from 1 species